CUCAAGAGUAACUUUUUUUUUUCUCUCCCCCGGCGGGUGUCAGUGAGGCUCAGAACGGACCACGCUGCUCUGUACACCGGCCCGCCCGACUACGGCCGACAGCCCACGAUCACCAGAUCCCGCCUGCUGCCAAAGACACACUGCAGUCAAGAUAGUUCACACCUAGCUCUGUGCAUUCGCCGAUAAUGACUGUUGAGCAAUUUGUUACGGUACCUCCUCAUAGCUCUCUUGCGACGGAUGGCGAGGCCUCUGUGGUAAAGCAUGCCCAGGAAAAACAACACCAGGCAGAAAAUUAAGCCAGCAGGGACACCCAAGGCUAUGCCUGUGAUCUGACCACUGCAGGGAGAGAAAUAAGAGUGAGCAUUGCUGUCCCGGACAAUAUCCUGCCAGAAAAUCCAGGGGCUAUAACUCAG